rnacentral:rRNA from 1 species
GAUGAACGCUGGCGGCGUGCCUAACACAUGCAAGUCGAGCGAUCUUCUUCGGAAGAGAGCGGCGGACGGGUGAGUAACGCGUGGGUAACCUGCCUCAUACACAUGGAUAACAUACCGAAAGGUAUGCUAAUACAAGAUGAUAUAAGAGAUUCGCAUGGAUUUCUUAUCAAAGCUCCGGCGGUAUGAGAAGGACCCGCGUCUGAUUAGCUAGUUGGUAAGGUAACGGCUUACCAAGGCGACGAUCAGUAGCCGACCUGAGAGGGUGAUCGGCCACAUUGGAACUGAGGCACGGUCCAAACGCCGAGGGGAGGGAGCAGUGGGGAAUAUGACACAAUGGGCGAAAGGCUGAUGCAGCAACGCCGCGUGGGCGAUGAGGUCCUUCGGGUCGUAAAGCUCUGUCCUCAAGGAAGAUAAUGACGGUACUUGAGGAGGAAGCCCCGGCUAACUACGUGCCAGCAGCCGCCGUAAAAC